UAUGACGUGUGUGGCGCUGCGGACGCGGUUGGCCUGACUGUCUGGUUCUGCCGCCGCAAUUUCAUCUUUCUUGGAGGCUACUUGUGUAGGAUAUUACCUAAGUUUGUCGGUCCGCGGGUGUCGUCGAAGCUGGCCAGAGGAAGGUUCUUGGUAGAGCUGGUUCUGCGGACUUCUUCGGUGGCUUUUCUGGCGGGUGUCCGUGUCCUCGACUAAGUACAGGCUGAGCUGCAACUAACGGCUAUAAAGGGGAGGGCAACAACGGUGGGAUGAGAUUUGGAGGGUGGCAAUGGCAGACGCGAGCAUGGAUCUGGUGCACGUAGGAGAAAUCUGGGAUGGGGCUCCGCUGAGAUUUAGGAAGAGGAGCCUGGUGAGCGGGCAGGUGGUCAGAGCAGGAAUGCCACACAUGAGCUUGAGUUGGACUGAUACUACUCGCUACUGCAUCUGCAAGGAGGUGGUGGCAAAUUCAAGGACGUAAAUAUUCAGGUAGCAAGCAAUGAUGCCGAAAUCAAGGAUGUAAAUAUUAUUUAGCUGCAAUAUAUUGAAAGGUA